GCCGGUUUAGCUCAGUUGGUAGAGCAACUGAUUUGUAAUCAGUAGGUCGGAGGUUCGAGUCCAUCAACCGGCACCA
rnacentral:tRNA from 1 species